UUAAGUUCAGCGGGUAGUCCUACCUGAUUUGAGAUCAAACGUUCAAAAAGCUGUCCCUCGCUGAGGAGAGACGUUUAUGAGCCCCAGCGAACCUCCAUCACUGAAGGUUACCUGAUGGAAAACCACAAGCGUAGAUAGUUAUCACACCUGUGAUGCCACCAAACACUGGCAAGCUGAUUUAUUUGAGAGGAGCUGACCAC
rnacentral:misc_RNA from 1 species